UCUUUGACGUUGCGCCUUGCAUAAGUUCCUUGGAACAGGACUGUCAUAGAGGGUGAGAAUCCCGUAUAUGGUGGGGCUUGCAAUCUUUUGUAAAGUGCUUUCGACGAGUCGAGUUGUUUGGGAAUGCAGCUCUAAGUGGGUGGUAAAUUCCAUCUAAAGCUAAAUAUUGGCGAGAGACCGAUAGCGAAGAAGUACAGUGAUGGAAAGAUGAAAAGCACUCCGAAAGGAGGGUGAAAUAGGACGUGAAAUUGUUGAAAGGGAAGUGCUUGGGAUCAGUCUUUAGUUUUAGUGAUCAAUUUUCCUUCUGGAUUAUGCACUCGCUAUUUCUUUGGCCAACAUCAGUUUUUGCGGCAGGAUAAUGACAUUGGAAUGUGGCUUCUUCGGGAGUGUUAUAGACUUUGUUGAUACUGCUUGCUUGGACUGAGGACCGCGCUUCGGCUAGGAUGUUGGCAUAAUGAUCUUAAGCAGCCCGUCUUGAAACACGGACCAAGGAGUCUAACAACUAUGCGAGUGUUUGGGUGUUAAACCCGUACGCAUAAUGAAAGUGAACGUAGGUGGGAACCUUUUGGUGCACCAUCGACCGAUCCUGAUGUUCUCGGAUGGAUUUGAGUAAGAGCAUAGCUGUUGGGACCCGAAAGAUGGUGAACUAUGCCUGAAUAGGGUGAAGCCAGAGGGAAACUCUGGUGGGAGGCUCGUAGCGAUUCCUGACGUGCAAAUCGAUCGUCAAAUUUGGGUAAAAGGGGCGAAAGACUAAUCGAAC
rnacentral:rRNA from 1 species